rnacentral:rRNA from 1 species
UUGUUGGUAAGGUAAAAGCUUACCAAGGCUUCGAUCAGUAGCUGGUCUGAGAGGACGACCAGCCACACUGGGACUGAGACACGGCCCAGACUCCUACGGGAGGCAGCAGUGGGGAAUUUUGGACAAUGGGGGCAACCCUGAUCCAGCCAUGCCGCGUGAGUGAAGAAGGCCUUCGGGUUGUAAAGCUCUUUCAGCCGGAACGAAACGGUUACGGAUAACACCCGUGACUACUGACGGUACCGGAAGAAGAAGCACCGGCUAACUACGUGCCAGCAGCCGCGGUAAUACGUAGGGUGCGAGCGUUAAUCGGAAUUACUGGGCGUAAAGCGUGCGCAGGUGGUUUUGUAAGUCAGAUGUGAAAGCCCCGGGCUCAACCUGGGAACUGCGUUUGAAACUACAAGACUAGAGUGUGGCAGAGGGGGGUGGAAUUCCGCGUGUAGCAGUGAAAUGCGUAGAGAUGUGGAGGAACACCGAUGGCGAAGGCAGCCCCCUGGGUCAACACUGACGCUCAGGCACGAAAGCAUGGGGAGCAAACAGGAUUAGAUACCCUGGUAGUCCAUGCCCUAAACGAUGUCAACUAGUUGUCGGGCCUUUACGGGCUUGGUAACGUAGCUAACGCGUGAAGUUGACCGCCUGGGGAGUACGAUCGCAAGAUUAAAACUCAAAUGAAUUGACGGGGACCCGCACAAGCGGUGGAUUAUGUGGAUUAAUUCGAUGCAACGCGAAAAACCUUACCUACCCUUGACAUGUAUCGAAGCCCGCAGAAAAGCGGGGGUGCCCGAAAGGGAACGAUAACACAGGUGCUGCAUGGCUGUCGACAGCUCGUGUCGUGAGAUGUUGGGUUAAGUCCCGCAACGAGCGCAACCCUUGUCAUUAAUUGCCAUCAUUUAGUUGGGCACUUUAAUGAGACUGCCGG